CUCUCGUCAACAUCAGAAAUUCGAUAAGGGACCUUGGCUGUAAGGCAGAGGAGGCACUGCCUGUCCGUGAUGUUCAUGGCAGAGAUGGGAAGCCUUUGUUCCUCUAAGCUCUUUGCUGCAUCACAACAUUCCCUGGGUUGACCCUCAUCUGUAGUUAUUAAAAUUACCUGCUCAUCAGAAUCAACAGGAAAAAGUUACAAGCCCAGACAUCCACCUGGGGAAGAGAAAGUUAUGGUGCACAGUAUUUACCUACAGAUUCCUGAGAAGCUCUGCAUUUUGAGAUGUUAAUGGAAUUUUGAUAAUUGGACACUGAAGAUUUAUUGGAUUGUAGGGCUUAUAAAAUAUCCUUCCAAAUGUGUAAGUCAGGAGCCCAGCUGGAGGACGUCCAUGGAGAAGUCACUGCUGAACUUCAUUUGUGUCCUUUGCUCUGGCCUCCCAGUGUGAAGUUCAUCUGUGAGGUUCUUUAGGGAGACAUGCUGGAGGGAGCUUUAGCAUAACCCCACUCCAUACACCUGUAGGUUGGUGGAGUUUAAAAAUUAAAAAAAAAUUAAUGACAAAAAUCUGGGUCAUUAUGUGAAAUCUUCUGAUUUUUCAAUAGAGACAAAUAAUCCAACAACUCCAUUAAGUAAGUACUAAUAUUAUCUUCAUUUGACAGGUAAUGAAACAUACUUGGGGAAUGUCCUAAUUUGAAUUAUGUAGCAAAUAUUCAAUCUGUACUCUCCAGUUAGACACAGUACACAUUUCCCUGACUUAUUGAUGUUGCACAUUUGAUUUGCUGUGGCUCAAGGAUAUGAGCAGCAUGGCUCCUCCACAAGCCAUUUAUGAGCCAAGGCCAGAAGAAGGCCUGGCAUAGGUGUCCUCCUGCCAUUCCCACAAGAAGAACAUGUGCCUGCUGCUCUGCUGGUCUAUAGAAGAUGAGAGCCCUGUGGAGAAUUCUCCUGUCUUGGAAGAUUUGAAAUGUACCACUAAAUUAAUUCAAAAGUUCACUUGUAGAAUACGGAAUCCUAGAACUUCAUUUAAAAGUGAGGACUAUCUAAGGGGCAUCUGGAUGACUCAGUUAAACAUCUGACUCAUGACCUCAGCUCAGGUCUUGAUUGCAGGGUUGCGAGUUGAAAGCCCACAUUGGGCUCCAUACUGGGCAUGGAACCUACUUAAAAAAUAAAAAAUAAAAAAUAAAAAAAUUAACA
rnacentral:lncRNA from 1 species